rnacentral:misc_RNA from 1 species
CCCCAUAUUCUCAAGCAUUAUUUUGUAAUGUUUGGAUUUGUUUGGAGAGGCACCUCAGUCAUAGAGGUACCCUUCAGAAAUGUAUAUGGCAGUAUAGUUUAUAUCUGAACUAGGCGUAAUAAUAAUAAAGUCGCUGAGUUCACCAUAUUUAUACUUGCCUGAAACCACCCAUUGUUAAAUC